GUCCAGGGUAGCCUAGUGGACAUGGCAUCUGCCCGGUAAGCGGAACACUGUCGGUUCGAUUCCCAUUUCUGGGCA
rnacentral:tRNA from 1 species